UGUGAAUGGAUCUGAAAUUAACAGUUUAAACUAAUUCUGAACUGACAACUCAAUUUGUCAAAUCUAAAGCUACUUUUGAUAGUGAGGUUCAAAUGAGAGAUUCUUUUAUAAUCACCUGUCUUAACACUCUCAUGUAAGUAACAAGACAGAGAGGCUGCAAAAUUAGUCUAACGGUAAUCUUCAGGGAACAAUCGUUGGGAGAGACUCCGACGCGGUUCCAUGGUGCGCAACCCAAGUUCAGAAAAUGGCUUCAACAUCAACCUGCAACUCUAGUGUGAAAAAUCCCUUAAGAAGUUCAGAAAUGCACUUUAAAAGGACUUUAAACUCUAUUUUAAAGCCACCCACUCAUUGUGCGUCUGUCUCCCCAGGGCAACAACGAUGAUGUCAUCCUGUCCUGCUGUCUGCACUACUGUCAGGACAAAGCCAAGGACUUCAUGCCUGCUGAGAGAAAUGGGCCGGUGAGGUUGCGCAGGGAGGUGGUCUUGCUCACGGAUGACCGCAACCUAAGAGUCAAAGCUCUCACACGUAACGUGCCUGUCCGGGACAUCCCAGCGUUCCUGAUCUGGGCUAAAGUAGGCUGAACCGCAGACCUGACCUACCGCUGUACAAACCAGUCAUCCUCCACUGUGAAAGUUGAAGAUGAAGAAAUGUCACUCAGAGAGGAUGAGUAGAAAGGGGAAAAAUCCAACAAGCUUUUUGUCAAACCCCCCCCCCC